rnacentral:tRNA from 1 species
GUUUUAAUAGUUUAACAAAAACAUUGGUCUUGUAAAUCAAAAAUAAAAUAUAAAUUUUUUAAAACU